CUUCUUCUUCUCUCUCACUCUGUCUCUCUGGUUGCUGUUGCAGCUUCUUCUCUCCUUGUUACAAGACAAUGAACAAAUCAGGGGCGCUUGUAAUGUGCUUUAUCGUUCUACUCAGUCUAUUCUAUUGGCUUGGGGAGAGCUGUGAACUUCACAACGACGAAUUUCCGAUGGAAGAACAGUGCACCACCGUAGCUUGCAAGGACUUCUGCGUCGAAAAAUUUCAAUUAAGAACCAUAAGGGCUGGAUGUGAUUGUGUUUCAACAGAAGCACAAACCACUUGCAAAUGCCUCUCUUCUUGCCCUUCCUAUAGUGAAGGUGAAACGGGAAAAGCUCAUAUAUGUCCAUACCAAUUGCUUAGCACAUAUAUUGCUUUGAUGCUAACAUAUCUCUACCUUUAGCUACUUAAUAUACCUAUAUGAAAACUGUUAAUUUAUGGGUUAAUUCAUUAUUUCCCUAACAUUAACCCAUGAUUGUUGCCUUUUAUCCUCUCUUUUUUUUUAUAUCAAAAUGCUAAGAGAUACAAAUUUCUUCAA